rnacentral:rRNA from 1 species
CGAGAUAUUUAUAUCGAGUGGCGAACGGGUGAGUAAUACAUAGGUAACCUGCCCUAGACAGGGGGAUAACUAUUGGAAACGAUAGCUAAAACCGCAUAGGUAACACUUUCGCAUGAAGGAGUUAUUAAAAGUGCCUCAAAGCACUGGUCAAGGAUGGACUUAUGGCGCAUUAGCUAGUUGGUAAGGUAACGGCUUACCAAGGCGACGAUGCGUAGCCGACCUGAGAGGGUGACCGGCCACACUGGGACUGAGACACGGCCCAGACUCCUACGGGAGGCAGCAGUAGGGAAUUUUCGGCAAUGGGCGAAAGCCUGACCGAGCAACGCCGCGUGAAGGAAGAAGGUUUUCGGAUUGUAAACUUCUGUUAUAAAGGAAGAAUAGUAUAUGUAGGAAAUGACAUAUAAAUGACGGUACUUUAUUAGAAAGCCACGGCUAACUACGUGCCAGCAGCCGCGGUAAUACGUAGGUGGCAAGCGUUAUCCGGAAUUAUUGGGCGUAAAGAGGGAGCAGGCGGCAAUAGAGGUCUGUGGUGAAAGACUGAAGCUUAACUUCAGUAAGCCAUGGAAACCAAAUAGCUAGAGUGCAUUAGAGGAUCGUGGAAUUCCAUGUGUAGCGGUGAAAUGCGUAGAUAUAUGGAGGAACACCAGUGGCGAA